rnacentral:RNase_MRP_RNA from 1 species
GGAUGUUCUGAAGACCUGCUCGCUAGGCCACGCACGGAGGACAUCCGUUCCUCAUGGGCCCCCGCGCCCGCCUAGGGGAAAGUCCCCGGACCGCCGGCAGAGAGUGCCGGGCGCUGCCGCGCCCCCGCCCGCCGCCGCCUCACACCCUCCCGCCGAGACGCCUGCGGGCCGAGCGGAUGAGCGCGGGGCGGGCUCUCGUCACGGCCAUAGAGACGCAGGUAGCGCGGCAGGCGCGCUAACAGAACGGGGCUCACUCUCAGGCCAUC